GCAAAAUAGAAAGGAAAGCGGGCAGCCAGAGCAACGUGAGCAGGACGGAGGAGGGGGCUGGAGGGGUGAGGGGUGAGGGCUGCUCGGACCUUCCGGAAAACGACUCCCCAGGAGAAAGAAAGAGCAAGAGAGAGACCAGGAAGAAAGACUCACGAAGAAACCAGGAACGGAAAAGGGGAAGAUGCAAGACUGCCUGGGGAAAGUAGGUCAGAAGGCCAGGGUGUGAGAAGGGAGCCCCAGAGGCUGGGGAGAGACAGAACCUUCCCUCGGCAAGAAGGGGCCAGACUCAGGCUUGCUGCUGACGGGGAGUUUAUUUGCACUGAACUGCGGAGGGGCAGGGGCUGCCGGGCUCCAGCUCAGGGCUGCUUCAGCUGCGGCUGCGGCUCCGGCUCGGGCUCCGGCUCGGGCUCCGGCUCGGGCUCCGGCUCCUCUAUCUUGCUCUGAGCCUGAGGUGGGUGAGUCCCGUGCUCUAAGGCAGAGAAUCUUCUUGGUCGCCACUGUGGGAAGCCAGACACGGAGGGUAGGAGAAAGAGGAGGGGGAAGGGAAAGGGAAUAAGCUAUUCCUUCCCAGGCCCCUCCCUGCCCAUAUGGUCCCAGGCCUUCUCUCAGCCCCUCCGAGCCUCCUUUGGUUCCUUCAGGUACAAGGGGUCCCUGGAGUGCAGAGGCUCAUGGAGAGGGGGCUCUGAGGGCAAGUUCAGGGGUCAACCUUGCUCAUCUACCUGAGGAAGGGGUGCCAGACAGCACACCAAGGACUGGGGAGGGGGGCUCCCGGCUCACCCGUCUUCUCCAAAGGUGAAAGCUAAAGGCUCCAGUCACCAACACGAGCAGGAAGAGGAUACCAAGGAUGAGGAGAGGGAAGUGGCCUGUUUUCCGGGCCCCCGGGGCUCUCCCAGAACGUUGGGCACCUACGGAGAGAGGUCAGGAUUGCAACAGCCAUAGGGUCAUGGCUGGAAGGACACCUUGCCAUACCCCUCUGAUAUGUUACCGACAAUGAGACCCAGAGAGUUUAAGGGACUUGUCCAGGGUCACUCAGCUAAUUAUUGGCAGAAGUGGGUCAGGCCUAGACAAGAGCUGGAGGUCAGCUCCCUGGCUGGAGAGAAAGAGCGGGGACGGGGCGUGGUGUGGGGAGGAGGUCUGGAAGUGGGAUGGAGGUGACUGGUCUGGAGUUGGGGCUAUGGUGCUGUGGGGUCUCGGACCUGGGCGAGACAGCUCAGCGAGGUAUACCGCGGUCCCGAGAAGCCUCUGCCCCUGGUACAGGCGGCACUGCCAGGGCUGAGAAAGGAGCCUGGCCUCCGGCAUCAGCAGCCAGGGGCCUGGAGAGGUCCUGCGAGACCGCUCGUCCAGGGGGCUCCACACAAAGUGUUCUUGUCCAGAUGCUGGAGUCACCUCACAAAGCAGUUUUCUCAGGCUGCCAGGCUCCCUACUGCCUUCGGGGGACUGUUCAAACUCAAACUGGCCGGAAGGAUCACAUGACAGAUAUUUCAGAUUCGUUUCCAUGACUUUCUACUCAAACGCUCAGAACCCCCAUCGUUCAGAGAACAGAUCAACAGAUCUAGAGACAGAUCAUCUCGAAGCUGUGCGGUGGGGAUGGGCAGGAGGAGAAAAUUGAUGAAUGGCCUGGAGCUGAGCAUGGUGUACAAGC